UGGGGAAUAUUGGGCAAUGGGCGAAAGCCUGACCCAGCAACGCCGCGUGAAGGAAGAAGGUCUUCGGAUUGUAAACAUCUGUCCUAUGGGAAGAAAAAAAUGACGGUACCAUAGGAGGAAGCCCCGGCUAACUACGUGCCAGCAGCCGCGGUAAUACGUAGGGGGCUAGCGUUGUCCGGAAUUACUGGGCGUAAAGGGUGCGUAGGCGGUAUUUUAAGUCAGAUGUGAAAUACCCGGGCUUAACCCGGGGGGUGCAUUUGAAACUGGGAUACUUGAGUGCAGGAGAGGUAAGUGGAAUUCCUAGUGUAGCGGUGAAAUGCGUAGAUAUUAGGAGGAACACCAGUGGCGAAGGCGACUUACUGGACUGUAACUGACGCUGAGGCACGAAAGCGUGGGGAGCAAACA
rnacentral:rRNA from 1 species